rnacentral:tRNA from 1 species
GGGCUCGUAGCUCAGCGGUUAGAGCGUCUCGUUUACACCGAGAAGGUCCUCCGUUCGAAUCGGAGCGGGCCCACCA